rnacentral:rRNA from 1 species
UACGUAGGGUGCUAGCGUUGUCCGGAUUUAUUGGGCGUAAAGGGCUCGUAGGCGGUGUGUCACGUCGGCCGUGAAAACCUGGGGCUCAACUCUGGGCGUGCGGUCGAUACGGGCAUCACUUGAGUUCGGCAGGGGAGACUGGAAUUCCUGGUGUAGCGGUGAAAUGCGCAGAUAUCAGGAGGAACACCGGUGGCGAAGGCGGGUCUCUGGGCCGAUACUGACGCUGAGGAGCGAAAGCAUGGGUAGCGAACAGG